rnacentral:rRNA from 1 species
UACGUAGGAUCCAAGCGUUGUCCGGAUUUACUGGGCGUAAAGCGUGCGCAGGCGGUUGUGCAAGACAGAUGUGAAAUCCCCGGGCUUAACCUGGGAAUUGCAUUUGUGACUGCACGGCUAGAGUGUGUCAGAGGGGGGUAGAAUUCCACGUGUAGCAGUGAAAUGCGUAGAUAUGUGGAGGAAUACCGAUGGCGAAGGCAGCCCCCUGGGAUAACACUGACGCUCAUGCACGAAAGGCGUGGGGAGCAAACAGG